CAUGCACAAACACACAAAAAUAAACAAAACAAAAAGGGAAACGAUUGGAUUGUUUUCCUAAAAGGUCACACUGAUCAAAUGAAACUGUGUCAUCUAUUACCACCGUAUUCUAAUCUUCCCCUUCCCACACUAUUCACACUUCUACAUUACACACACACCCACAUCACAUGCACAGAGAAUUUGAACGACUCUGUUCAUAAGGGUGUGGGUGGGUAUGUCAUAUAUAUAGAGACAGAGAUGCAAAAUCAUACAAGCACUUGUGUCCAUACACAAACACAUGCAUGCUUCUGAAACACCAACACAUACAAACACCAAUAAAAUUACUGCAACACACUGUGCAUUCAGAUCUUUGAGUACAUAUGUAAUAGAUACACCCACAUACAUCUAUGAAAUAUUACAAGAAAUGUAUCUACACAAAGAGCUUUUCAUAUUAUUUCUAAAAACACAAGAUCUAAGAACGUUACGUUUUAAUCUAUAACUGAAUUUUCAACUGUAACAAACACCUUAUUGAAUUUAAUUUGGAAAAGGGCAGGUACAAUGCUCACUCAAGUGAGAACACCGUGAUACGAUGUGUCAAACUACUGCAGGUGCACUGAAGCAACAUCUACAUGCAAACACAUACAAGAAUGCACACACACACGCCCCUUCGAAACAGAACCCUCAUUUACAGUGGUUGUCAAGGUGGCUGUGAAGCGCAAAACCAAGCGCCAGUUGAGUGCCUGAGAAAGAUCGCAAAGCUGGCUCCACCUCUGUCCUCCUGGUACGUUCACUCCAAGAAAACCAGAGAGCAAUUCCCACUGCGCAGCAGCCUGGCAGCUGUACGCUCUUGUCACCAAAGCCUGUUUAACAUUUACCCCUAAUCCUGUACAUACGUGGAAGAGAAGGUCCUAGUUCAUGAUUAGGACAACAUCACGUAUUUGCAGACGAGACCUAAAAUAACAGCAUUUUGAUGCUCCUGCUAAAGGUGUCAUAUCUUUGCUCCCCCUACCCUCAGUCUGCAACACCGGCAGUGCACAAACCAGAUAUUCCUUUCCCAUCUGGAAAAUUCAAGUUGGGACUGAUUCCAUGAAAACGCCCAGGUCCACUCCUUUCCCUCAGUCCAGAGAAACCUACAGGCUGUUUCCCUUCAGAUCCCUCAUGGCAAAAGCCAGACCAUUCGUGUUACCUCCAUCUCCGCUGCCUAUAUCAAUUAGUGCUCAUACUCUUCAUCUCAUUCAUUUCAGUAGGUUGACAUACGACUGUAUAUGGGAGAUUUAAGGAUCAACCAAAUAAAUAUUAAAGGACAGAAUGGCCUUGUCAGAAGUACUUCAAAUACAAAAAUGACAGCUACAGUUUCAGAUGCAUUUCAGACGCAUUCCCAAGGCUCAAUCCUACAGCAGGUUCUGUUCAAUAUUUUCAUGAAUGAUCUGAAUGCAAGAACUGAAUGCAACUUUAGCAAGCUUGCUGAUGAUACUCAACCGGGAAGAACUUUUGACUGCCUGAAGGGACAAGAGGCCUUGCAGAGGGAUCAAAAAUAGCACAGACAACAGGACAAGCAGAAGACCUUUUUCAAACCCUUUUUUUUUUUAAGUCCAUUUUAAUUUGGUAGGGAUUACAUAACUACGUGCAAUUCAAUCCAAUUCACAAGUUUUAUCUGUUCCAAUUUUUCUUGAAUGUAUUUAAAACAAAAAGAAAAAACUUUAUGUAUUUACAGAUGAACACUAUGACUCACCUCAUUCAGCUUUAUAUUUUCAUAGUAUUCAGAAAGAAAUUUUAUUUAAAAGAUACUACAUUCCCUCUGCUCCUUUGUAUUCAUAAGGGAUACUAUUAUUGGUAGAACAAAGAGAGAAUAUGUACAUGUCAUUAUUUCCAGUAGUACUGUACUAAGAGCGUUAUAGCAUAGAAAAGGAUCUGUAAGGUAUGCUGUCGUACAGAUUUGCUCUGUUUAACAAUGAUGUGGAGGAGAAAUAUGCAUCAUUGCUUAUCUAUGAUUAUCUAUGCAUACAAUACCAGAAAAAAAAGCACACAAUAAUUUAAUAGCAUGUCCAUGCAAAGGGAAAACGAGAUUUCAAAAGGUUAUGUUGCUGUGUCCAAUAUUAAUUUAUGCUAUCUCCCAAUCGCUUCAAUUCACACUGGCAGUCUGGCCUCAGUCCAACAUUCAUCUGCCUGCUGUAAUCAAGAGUUCUGUGCAGAGAAUAAGACUGCACUACAGCUCUGUACUUAUUGCACUUCUAGAACAUGAAUUAUUCUAUUUCCAUUUUAGGUUGCUUUUUUUUUUUUCUUUUAAAAAAAAAACUUUUCUGCUCCUCCCUAUACUUGCUUCACUCUUAUUUCUGUUAGCUUCUCAAGGUACCUGAGCCAACUCCCCAUAAGAUCAGGAACUCCCUCCAAAUCAAGUAAAGUGUUGCAGGAGUAGGCACUCGAAAACAAACAAACAAACCACACAAAUUAAAAACAAAAAAUCCCAAACCUCACAUACAGAAGGACUAUAGUUACUGCAUGAUUUCACCAGUGAUGAAACAUGGUUCAGAGUAUGUCCUUCUCCCUUCCUCAGCUGAUUACAGUGCUGAGUGCUGGAGACACUUAGGUACCAAAGUAAUCACGAAUUCUUGUCUCUGCAGCCGAGUUUUCCCUGCCACUGUUUCUAUUGCUUUAGGGAGUUCCCAUUUUAUUCAUAUUUCACUAAUCAGGCUCAGUCAGACACACUUGUCAGAGGAUCUGGCUCUAAUACUGUUUUUUUGAAUAUGACUGGCACUACAUAAUGAAGUACUUAGAAUAAAAUACAGCCUAUCCUCAUGUCAGCUCUUAUACACAACGUAUAUGAACAGCACAUCUGUUCAUUACUCACACUGCAACAUGCUCAUCAACGGAAGUUAAUAUUCCACAGAACAAUAGAUUCUUUUAUACUCUCCUAGGAAAGUGUGCAAAACCGCUGUCAUUUACCACUGAGUUAAAGAUGAAUUAGCAGUAAAAACACCGAUGAUGUUUAUAUUUGGAGAAUAAUCUCUUGCAUCAGCGUACGGAACUAUUUAGAAACUAGGAUAAAAAUACCACGUAUGGUUUAUUUUUGGACUUGAAAAUUUCUCAGUUCACUCUGUGCAGGCAGGGACUCAUAUCAGAGAGAUUCUUCAAGUCAACAAUACAAGAAAAGAAAAAAGAAAGGAAAGAAAAAAAAUGGAAGGAAGAGAAAGCCUCUAAGUCAGGAACUGCUUGAGAAUGGAGAGACCAGCCACAUCACUGCUCAUGCUGACAUCCUCUUUUCCAGCGUAACUAGGAUAGUUCUCCCGCUUCAUUUUUUCCCCAGAAAUUUGUAUUUAUUUAGAAUGUAAUAAUUUUGGAGCAGACAAGGCACCUCCUAACAGAUACGCCAACUAGUACU